UACGAAGGGGGGCGAGCGUUGUUCGGAAUCACUGGGCGUAAAGGGCGCGUAGGCGGCCCUCUUAGUCGCGUGUGAAAGCCCCGGGCUCAACCUGGGAACGGCGCGCGAAACGGGAGGGCUGGAGUUCGGGAGAGGAGAGUGGAAUUCCCAGUGUAGAGGUGAAAUUCGUAGAUAUUGGGAAGAACACCGGGUGGCGAAGGCGGCUCUCUGGACCGAGACUGACGCUGAGGCGCGAAAGCCAGGG
rnacentral:rRNA from 1 species